CCACGUCCGGCCUCACCGGAGCCCGGGCACCGCGUAGGCGAGGGGCCGGGCUUCCCUCCGAGAGCCGCGGGGACCCGGGAAUGAAUCUGACAUUGGACUGAGCACUGACCUGAGAGGGAGUGGAGGCCGCACCUGUAAUGGAACUGGACCCCACAUGCUGCAACUAAAAGUUUGUUUGAUACAACUAAAGAUACAACUAAAGAUACAACGAAGAUGGAAGAUCCUGCAUGCUGCGACUAAGAUCUGACUCAGCCAAAAUAAAUAAAAGAAUGUAAGCUUCAUGUCUACCUUAAAAAAUAAUAAAUUAACAAAUCCAAAUGUUGGCUCUCUGAAAAAGAUUAAUAAAGGUGACAACCCUAGUAAGACUGAUUAAGAAGAAAAAAGAGAAAGAAAACAUAAAUUAUCA